ensembl:misc_RNA 7SK 7SK RNA
AGAUGUGAGGGUAAUCUCAUCUGUCACUUAGUUGAUCUCCAGGGUUGAUUCGGCUGAUCCAGGUGGCCAGGCACGCGUUCCCUUCCUCCCUCACCACUCCAUGUGCAUCCCUCCUGAAGCUGCAUGCUCAGUCCAAGAGGAUGACCAUCUCUGUUAGAGGAGGACCAUUCUUUGGUCAAGGGUAUACGAGUAGCUGCACUCCCCUGGUAGAACCUCCAAACAAGCUUUCAAGUUAUAAAGUUGUAUAUGUAUAAGACUGGCUACAAAAUCUUUCACAAAAGCAUAUCCCAUGAGUGUGC